rnacentral:lncRNA from 1 species
UACAAUAACAGAACCAGAAAAUCAAAAGGAAAGGAAUAUCAAUUUGCAUUCAUAUUUUUCUCCAACUUUCUCACAUUAAUCUCCUUCCAUAAUCGUGCACUAAAGCAUAUAUGUAAUCAAAUUCGCUGAACAAUAGAAGAAAAAAAGGAGAAAACAUUGAUAGCAGGUAAAUUAUUAUUUUUUUCCAAUUGUAUUCAAAAGAUUUGUCUACUUCGUCUUCAUUUUUUGGUAAACCUUUUACAUUGAAAGGUAUAAUGUAUAAAUGUAUUUGUUUUUGUAUGUGGGUAUGAGAUCCGAUUUGAUGAAUGAAUACCAUUGUGAAUUCGUUUGGUUUCAUAUAUAUAUAUUUUUUAUUUGUAUAUGUACUGAUUUAAGAUUUUCUUCAAUUCAAAACAAAUGCCUGCUUCGUCAUGAAUUGUUGAAUUUUUAUUUUAAAAAAGAUAUAAAAAUUAAUUAUUGAUGAAUUAGAGAAUGAAACUGUGUAUGAUACAGUUCUUGACUAAUGAAUACAUACAAAUUUGGAUUCGAUUGAAUUCAUUAGGAUCUUCUUUUAUUUGUCUUUGAUUUCUGUGUGUAUCAUCCGAAUGAAGAUUUUAGUGUAUAUACCGAAUGAAGAUUCAUUGAAAUCGUCUUUUAUUGGUAUUUGACUUUAGUAUAUAUAGUUAGCAUAUGUUAUACAAAUAUAUAUGUUUGUGUGUUGGAGGGUGUACAACUGUACAUACAUACAGUGUUGUUUUGUGCUCUCCACUUUUUGAGCCUUAUUUACGAAUGUCAUGUGUUGGUAGGUAUAUAUACAUAUACUUGAUAUAGAUAAAAUUCAUUUGUAUAAAUUUUUGUAAUGUAUAAUGUAGGAACAGUGGAGUAUUCACUGUUGUAUGUUGAGUGUCUUAGCAUUGAAAAUGCUAUCGCAUCAGUAGAGUUGGAUGUGGAUCAAUUCCGUACCCGAUAUGAUGUGCUUCUAUAGGAUUACCAAACUAGGCCUAUCAAGCCACUUUUUGAGUGUGAUAGUAGUGCAAUGAUUGUAAUUUAGCAGACACUAGAAGUGAUUCUACUUUUAUUUUUUCAUCCUAGUUAGUUUUAAUUUCAAUAUCCGUUAAGACAUUUUAGUUGUUAUUAUUUACAUGACAAUGAAUCACAACUCAUUUAUGAUUUGAACUUUUUUUUCUUGAAUUAUGUUUAGGAUAUUUUAUUCAUGUUAUGUUGCAACGAAAAUCAUAUCCACAUUACGAUGCCUCUGAAUUCAUAUCAUUGUCAGCGUUUUGUAUAACAUAUGCAUUUUUAUUUAAUCGAUUUAAUAUGUCUUCUAGCUAUAUAUACAAAUAUUAUACUGUAUAUACAUUAUAUGUAUAUAUACUUUUAAAAAUGGUACACAGUCUUUUUAUAUACAUUAAACUUUGAAACUUAGAAGUCGGAUUAUAAAUAUGAUAUGUAUACGUUUUUUUAAUUAAGUACAUUUAUAUAUAAUUGUAUUUUAUAUAUGAAAUAUUUUCAUAUCUGUAUUUUAUAAAUAAAAUAUUUUCAUGCAUUUCAAAUGUAUUUUUGAAUACACAUUCACUUAUUUGUAUUUAGCUUGUAUGUAUAUAUAGUUGAUUGUAAUUUAUAAUCAUAAAUAAAAGUGUUAUUAAAAUAGAAGUAUGUAUAGCAACCACCAUUCAAUAUUUUCUUCAACUUUUUCAUAAUAGCCUCUUUCCAUAUAUGUAAUAAUAUCAGUGGAUUCUAUGAAAUUAAUCCAUAUAUAUAGAAUACAAAUGUAUACACAGAACAACUAAGUGUAUAUUUAUACAGAAGGGAAAUGAUAAAAUAUUGAAUAUUAAGGCUUUAAGUAUAUAUAAUCCAUAUACAAAAUACAUUAAGAAUAAUAGGCGAAGAUAUGUAUAUAUAGUUAAUCAAAUGGAUAUAUAAAAUAUAAAUUUAAGAACAUGUAUCUAUAGUUAAUCAAAUGAGUAUACAAAAUACAUAUGUUCAUACAAUUAUACACAAUUAAGCACAUGUAUAUACAAAAAAUUAAUAUAAUGAAUGAAAACACUCCACAUCCAAAGCAUAAAUGUAGACAUAAAACAUUUACAUGUCUAGAAUAAUUUUAUAUGUACAAAUAUAAAAUUUCAAACUGUAUAAAUGUAUAUAAAUUCACUGAGACAACAAAAAAAUUCAUAUUUUGAUAUAAAUUCUACGAUAUAACUAAUCAGAGAAGGAGGAAAGGUAACGAGGACCUUAAGCAAGAGGUUGGGGGUUCGAUCCCCACCUCUGGUGAAUGGAAAAACUCUGUGGCCAGUUUCCUAUCUCUUAGUGCGCUGCUGACCAUAGGAACGGAGAAUUAGUCUCACGGCUGCCGCUGUGGGGAUACUUUGAGAAACUAAAAUAAAGAAGGUGACAAGGACGAGGAUGAGGGAAUUUGCCUCCAUGAAAUUUCACCGGAGAAGUAGGCGGCAAGAAAGAAGAGUGUGGGAUUUGUCUUCUCGGAAUGAGUUAUCCCAUGAAUUUUAUCUUCCCCGUAAAUUUUCUAUUCUCUUCAUUCUAAUUAAUAUCUUUAUGCUGCAAAACAAGUGCAACAAUAUGUAACAAGUUUUUUCUUUUUGCAUUCAUUCAUAUUCUCUUUACGAGGAGAAAAAACUGGUUCAUGAACCACCAAGCCAUCUCUUAUUCUGUUUUCAUUGCCUAAAAAAUUUGUCCCUUCUCCAACUUUUUACUAGAGGUAUUCAUAAUAUCCUUUCCAUUAAGUUUAAAAGGGGAAGAAUGUACAAAAUCUCAUUAAUGCAGUCACUAAAUAUUUUGGAUGCUUCUUCUUCAUAUGUUUAUACUGUAGUUCAGCAAAACAGAUGUAGUUGUUGCUAUAUUUUGGUGUUCAGGUUGCAACAAUCUUUAUGGUGUAAUAUCUUUAUUAUGUAUUAGUUUGUGAUGAUAGAAGCUUCUGAAGUUGGGAUUGAAUUUAACUUACAAAAAAGUUGAAGAUUGAUCUUACUAUUUGUUAUUACUUGGAAAGAGAAAAGGGGGUCUUGGAAGUACGCCUGUAUUUUCUAUGUAAAGAAAUACAACCCUUGAUUUGUAUUAUUGACGUUGAGUAGUUGGAACUGAUUGUUGGAAAAAUCAGACAAUUUUUCCACUAAAAUAAAAGAAAUAUCCAACAUAAUAUUGAAUAUAAAAAAUAAAGACACCAAAAGUUUUGAUAACGGAAUUCUCCAAACAUUCAAUGAAUUCUAUUAAUUGUGGGAGAAGAGAACACAAUUGUAGGAUGGAUACAUAUGGGAGGAGGAAGGGUUAUUUUAUAGUUCUAAACCUCCUCCCCAAAUGGUAAUUUUCCGAUGUGGUAGAAAUGAGCCACAAAACAACACUGAUAACUUUCCAUUACUGUUCUCUGGAAUGAUUAAGUUUUAGUUAAGUUGGUACAUUUACUGGUGGUCCAAUAUGUGUUAAGAGUGUUUUGAUCUUAUUAGAGAUUUAUCUGUGUUAGUAAAAUAUUGAGAGAACUUCUAAUGCUACUAUGCUAGGGAAUCUAAAUUUUCAAAUAUUGGAUUGAGAUGGAUUUAAAUGGAGCAUGAAUGUGAGAAUGCAUAUAGCCGAGCUUAAUGAGAUUCAAAUAUUGGUCCGUGCGUAGUUAUUGUUAUAGUAGUCUUAGGAGAUUCUAAGUGGGUAUUUACUUCGGCUUUUAUUUUUUAGAUUGGGAUCAAGGCGUAGCUAUUAUUGCUGUAUUCUUAAGAAAUUUCAAGAGGGCUGUUUAGUUCGGCUUUUAAUAAAAACAUAAGAACAGAAGAUAUUUGCAUCAAAUAGAACUUAAGAUUACUGUGAUAUUUCUUUUUGUUAUUGUUGCUAUCAUCCUGUACAUUUGCAUUUGGUCCAAUCUAUGAUAAUAAUAUUUAGAGAACUUCUCAUGCUAGAGAACUUAAAUUUUAAAUAUUGGAUUGAGAGACACUCAGCAUCCAAUAACUCCUUUGGUGGUUGUGUGUUUAGUUUCAUGAAUAAUAGCGUAAUUAUCUUGAUUUCUUUGAGCGAACAACUAACAAUUUCUGCUUUACGACAAUGCUGGUACUCUUUGCUAAAUCUUUUCAAGAAGUAGCUACAAAGAACACAAAAUGCAGAACAAAUAUGUAACCAAUAUAGCAUGUAGAUAUGUGGUGCAAAAUGAUAUAAUCAUGAAUGUAAACAAGAUAUCACUUGUCAAUUAUACAAUUAUAAAUAAUCUAUGCCGUUUAACUAAGAAAAGUGUUUCAAUGUUGGGUCGUGCACGCACGGACCAUCACUUUCUAAUAUAAAAAUAUAAAGUAAUGAAAAUACCCUUAUAGAAUUUUAACUACAGUUUAUUUUUUCCUUAAAAUUCUGAAAUUUACCAAUUUACUUUACCAUAUUCCUGAAAUUCUAUGCUUUCCUUAGUUUUCAAACUUUUCUUCUUUCCAUCAGUACUUUUCUCCGUUAAUCUCAUUUGAUUACUUUCAAGAAGUCUCCGUUUGUAUAUGAGGGUCCACUUAAUUAAAAACUAAUUCUAACUACUUGAUAUGAGUUAAAUGACCGCCUUAACUUUCGAUGACAUCAUUCAAAGUUACUACAUGAAGAAUCAAGCUUUGGUCACAUGGAGGGUACAGAAUCAUACUUGGAGGGGUCGUCUUGAGCAUGACGUCAUUAAACAAACCCGAGUGUGGAAGAUUG